rnacentral:rRNA from 1 species
GACAGAGGAGGCAAGCGUUGUCCGGACUGACUGGGCGUAAAGCGUCCGCAGGUGGCAUGCCAAGUGGGGUGUGAAAGCCGGUGGCUUAACCGCCGGAGGCCAUCCCAAACUGGCGCGCUGGAGCCGGGCAGAGGGUGACGGAAUUGCCGGUGUAGUGGUGAAAUGCGUAGAGAUCCGGAAGAACACCGGUGGCGAAGGCGGCCUGCUGGGCAGUUUAGCUGACACUGAGGCGCGACAGCGUGGGGAGCAAACAGG